rnacentral:rRNA from 1 species
UACUAUGUUACGACUUAUCUCGAAUAAAUAACGAGAGUGACGGGCGAUGUGUCACACUCUAGAAACUAAAUCAUUAUUACAAUCUAAAAUAAUAAUUACAUUCAAAUCCAAUUUCACAUUAAAAUUUCAUUUAACAAUCCAAAAAUACAUAUAAACGGUAACCCAUUUCUACUUAACCAUAAAUUGCACCUUGACCUGAGAUAAUUUAAAAUAAAAUCCAGAAAAUUAAAAACACUAAAAAGAUCCUCAAUACAACGGCGGUAUACAAAUCAAUAAAUUAAGUAAGGUCCAACGAGGAUUAUCGAUAAAAGAACAGGUUCCUCUAAACAGAAUAAAAUACUGCCAAAUUCUUUAAGUUUCAAGACCAUAUCUAUUACUACUCAGGUUAAAUAAUUAACAUCAAAAAUAAUAGGGUAUCUAAUCCUAGUUU